rnacentral:rRNA from 1 species
CCUACGGGAGGCAGCAGCGAGGAAUAUUGGUCAAUGGCCGGAAGGCUGAACCAGCCAAGCCGCGUGAAGGACGAAGGUGCCAAGCAUUGUACACUUCUUUUGUCAAGGGACAAAAUCAGGCUCGAGAGCCUGACCGAGGGUACUUGAAGAAACAGCAUCGGCUAACUCCGUGCCAGCAGCCGCGGUAAUACGGAGGAUUCGAGCGUUAUCCGGCGUUAGUGGGUUGAAAGGGUGCGUAGGCGGACUGUUACGUCAGCGGUAAAAGCCCGGGGCUCAACCCCGGCGAGCCGUUGAAACUGGCGGUCUUGAGAUGUCGAGAGGUAUGCGGAAUGCGCAGUGUAGCGGUGAAAUGCUUAGAUAUUGCGCAGAACUCCGAUUGCGAAGGCAGCAUACCGGCGGCGAUCUGACGCUGAGGCACGAAAGCGUGGGUAUCGAACAGGAUUAGAUACCCCUGUAGUC